rnacentral:rRNA from 1 species
AACGAACGCUGGCGGCAGGCCUAACACAUGCAAGUCGAACGAGUAAGAGCCGUAGCAAUACGGAGUUCUGCUAGUGGCGCACGGGUGAGUAACGCGUGGGAACGUGCCUUGGAGUUCGGGAUAACAGUUGGAAACGACUGCUAAUACCGAAUAUUCCCUCAGGGGGAAGGAUUUAUCGCUCCAAGAUCGGCCCGCGUAAGAUUAGGUAGUUGGUGGGGUAAUGGCCUACCAAGCCUACGAUCUUUAGCUGGUCUGAGAGGACGACCAGCCACACUGGAACUGAGACACGGUCCAGACUCCUACGGGAGGCAGCAGUGGGGAAUAUUGGACAAUGGGCGAAAGCCUGAUCCAGCCAUGCCGCGUGAAUGAUGAGGGCCUUAGGGUUGUAAAUUCUUUGCUAGGGGAAGAUAAUGACGGUACCCUGCGAAUAAGCUCCGGCUAACUUCGUGCCAGCAGCCGCGGUAAU